rnacentral:rRNA from 1 species
AUACGGAGGGGGCGAGCGUUAUUCGGAAUCAUUGGGCGUAAAGGGCGCGUAGGCGGCCUGACAAGUCAGGGGUGAAAUCCCUCGGCUCAACCGAGGAACUGCCUCUGAAACUGUCAGGCUUGAGGCCGGGAGAGGGUAGUGGAAUUCCCAGUGUAGCGGUGAAAUGCGUAGAUAUUGGGAGGAACACCAGUGGCGAAGGCGGCUACCUGGACCGGUUCUGACGCUGAGGCGCGAAAGUGUGGGGAGCAAACAGGAUUAGAUACCCCAGUAGUCC